CUCAAUGGUGGCUCAGGCGGGGCAGCCUUCGGGCUGGCCGGUAGCCUUCAGAACCGGUACUGCGAACCUCGUCUGGGCUACCACCAAA
rnacentral:antisense_RNA from 1 species